AGGUUAAGCUAGUAAGAGCGCACGGAGGAUGCCUAGGCACCAGGAGCCGAAGAAGGACGUGGCGAACAACGAUACCGCCUCGGGGAGCCGUAAGCAGGCUUUGAUCCGGGGAUUUCCGAAUGGGGAAACCCAGCUGGGGUAAUGCCCAGUUACUUCUGACUGAAUACAUAGGUCAGAUAGAGGCAUACCGGGGGAACUGAAACAUCUAAGUACCCCGAGGAAGAGAAAACAAAAGUGAUUCCGUCAGUAGCGGCGAGCGAACGCGGAUUAGCCCAAACCAAGGAGCUUGCUCCUUGGGGUUGUAGGACGUCUCACAUGGAGUUACAAAGGUGCCCGCUAGGCGAAGAGGUCUGGAAAGGCCCGCUAGAAGAGGUAAAAGCCCUGUAACCAAAAGCCAGCACCCUCCGAGACGGAUCCUGAGUACGGCGGGACACGUGAAACCCCGUCGGAAUCCGGCAGGACCAUCUGCCAAGGCUAAAUACUCCCUGGUGACCGAUAGUGAAGCAGUACCGUGAGGGAAAGGUGAAAAGCACCGCGGGAGCGGAGUGAAAAAGAACCUGAAACCGUGCGCUUACAAGAAGUCAGAGCCCGAUUAAUGGGUGAUGGCGUGCCUUUUGUAGAAUGAACCGGCGAGUUACGAUUACGUGCAAGGUUAAGGUGGAAAGCCGUAGCCGCAGCGAAAGCGAGUCUGAAUAGGGCGAAUGAGUACGUGGUCGUAGACCCGAAACCGUGUGAUCUACCCCUGUCCAGGGUGAAGGUGCGGUAACACGCACUGGAGGCCCGAACCCACGAACGUUGAAAAGUUCGGGGAUGAGGUGGGGGUAGCGGAGAAAUUCCAAUCGAACUCGGAGAUAGCUGGUUCUCCCCGAAAUAGCUUUAGGGCUAGCCUCGGAUAUGAGUGUCGUGGAGGUAGAGCACUGAUUGGGUGCGGGGCCCGCCAAGGGUUACCAAGUCUAGUCAAACUCCGAAUGCCAUCGACAUGCUUACCGGGAGUCAGACAGUGAGUGCUAAGAUCCAUUGUCAAGAGGGAAACAGCCCAGAUCAUCAGCUAAGGUCCCCAAGUGUGUGUUAAGUGGGAAAGGAUGUGGAGUUGCAAAGACAACCAGGAUGUUGGCUUAGAAGCAGCCACCAUUUAAAGAGUGCGUAAUAGCUCACUGGUCGAGUGACUCUGCGCCGAAAAUGUAACGGGGCUAAACACACCACCGAAGCUAUGGCAUG
rnacentral:rRNA from 1 species